rnacentral:rRNA from 1 species
UACGGAGGGUGCGAGCGUUGUCCGGAAUCACUGGGCGUAAAGCGUGCGUAGUCGGUUAUCUAAGUCGGGUGUGAAAUCCCCCGGGCUCAACCUGGGAAUUGCAUUCGAUACUGGAUAGCUAGAGUUCGGCAGAGGGAAGCGGAAUUUCGGGUGUAGCGGUGAAAUGCGUAGGAUAUCCGAAGGAACAUCAGUGGCGAAAGCGGCUUCCUGGACCAGAACUGACGAUCGAGGCACGAAAGCGUGGGGAGCAAACA